GAUGAACGCUGGCGGUAUGCUUAACACAUGCAAGUCGAACGGACUCUUCGGAGUUAGUGGCGGACGGGUGAGUAACGCGUGAGAAUCUGGCUUUGGGUUCGGGACAACCACUGGAAACGGUGGCUAAUACCGGAUGUGCCGAGAGGUAAAAGAGAAAUUGCCUGAAGAUGAGCUCGCGUCUGAUUAGCUAGUUGGUGAGGUAAAGGCUCACCAAGGCAGCGAUCAGUAGCUGGUCUGAGAGGAUGACCAGCCACACUGGGACUGAGACACGGCCCAGACUACUACGGGAGGCAGCAGGGGAGAAUUUUCCGCAAUGGGCGAGAGCCUGACGGAGCAAUACCGCGUGAGGGAAGAAGGCUCUUGGGUUGUAAACCUCUUUUCUUAGGGAAGAACAAAAUGACGGUACCUAAGGAAUCAGCAUCGGCUAACUCCGUG
rnacentral:rRNA from 1 species